GGAAGGAGAAGUCGUAACAAGGUCUCCGUAGGUGAACCUGCGGAGGGAUCAUUAAGAAUUGAAGGCACUGUUGCCCAUUCUAACCCUUUGUGAACUAACUCUGUUGCUUCGGGGGCGACCCCGCCGUUUCGGCGGUGGCGCUCCCGGUAGCCAAUCAUAACUCUGCAUCUCUUGCGUCGGAGUCUUAAAGAAAUUUAAACAAAACUUUCAACAACGGAUCUCUUGGUUCUGGCAUCGAUGAAGAACGCAGCGAAAUGCGAUAAGUAAUGUGAAUUGCAGAAUUCAGUGAAUCAUCGAAUCUUUGAACGCACAUUGCGCCCUGGUAUUCCGCGGGGCAUGCCUGUUCGAGCGUCAUUUCACCACUCAAGCCUAGCUUGGUAUUGGGCGUCGCGACUUGUCGCGCGCCUUAAAGUCUCCGGCUGAGCAGUCUGUCUCCGAGCGUUGUGAUACAUAUUCGCUAGGGAUGACAGGUCUGUCGCGGCCGUUAAAUCUUUAUUACAGGUUGACCUCGGAUCAGGUAGGGAUACCCGCUGAACUUAAGCAUAUCAAUAAGCGGAGGA
rnacentral:rRNA from 1 species